rnacentral:rRNA from 1 species
CGCGUAGGCGGCCUGCUAAGUCGGAUGUGAAAUCCCUCGGCUCAACCGGGGAACUGCAUCCGAUACUGGCGGGCUUGAAUCCGGGAGAGGGAUGUGGAAUUCCAGGUGUAGCGGUGAAAUGCGUAGAUAUCUGGAGGAACACCGGUGGCGAAGGCGGCAUCCUGGACCGGUAUUGACGCUGAGGCGCGAAAGCUAGGGAGCAAACG